rnacentral:rRNA from 1 species
AAAGCUCAAAUUUGAAAUCUGGCAGUUCUUGCGACUGUCCGAGUUGUAAUUUAGAGAAGUGUUACCUGCGCUGAACCGUAUAUAAGUCCUUUGGAAUGAGGCGUCAUAGAGGGUGAGAAUCCCGUCUUUGAUACGGACUGCCAGUGCUUUGUGGUAUGCUCUCAAAGAGUCGAGUUGUUUGGGAAUGCAGCUCAAAAUGGGUGGUAAAUUCCAUCUAAAGCUAAAUACAGGCGAGAGACCGAUAGCGAA